rnacentral:lncRNA from 1 species
GAUGGGAUUUAUGACAGGUCAUGGGACCGCAAUAUGACCGUAUUCAGUCAUGGCUGCACUUUAUGACCCCAUGAGGUCAUAAAGGUGGUCAUGUACCUGCUCAUAAAUAUGCGGAACAUGACCAGGUCAUAUUGCGCAUGGUAUUCCAUGAUGCAACAAUGCAGGCCAUGACCACCCUGGCCCAUGUUUUGCACUCAUUCCAUGAGUCGUACACUGCACUCCAUGACUACCCGGGCCCAUGUUUUGCACACAUUCCAUGAGUCGUACACUGCAUUCCAUGACCACCCUGGCCCAUGUUUUGCUUGGUUUACAUGACUCGUACACUGCAUUCCAUGACCACAUUGGCACAUGUUUUACAUUGUUUACAUGACUCAUACACUGCACUCCAUGACCACCCCUGGCCCAUGUUUUGCACACAUCUCAGAAGUUGUUCAGUGUGGGCUUAUAAGUCAUGACCAGCAACCCAUCAAUAUGUGGGCUCCAGACUCCAAGUCUGCUAUCACAAAUAAAUGUAUGUACUCCAACACUCCACACCGUUAAGGUGACAAACCUCAAUGUUUCAGUGGAUCACUCAGGUAAAUCACCCACCAGUAGCAUCCUAUAGAGUAAGCCGGAUUACCUGCAGCUCAACUACAUUCCUGAACCACAACUGCCUUCCAUUAUCAAUAUCAUAACUAUGAACUUCACUCCUUGCAGGUCUCAAUCCGUAAACCUCCAGGGACUUAAGUGUGUGCAUUAGUAGUAAUGCCUGACCUCAUACAUUUCUCUAUAUGCCACCGAGCCAUCUAUUACAGGCCACAAAGAUUGUCAACUCCAGCAUCCUGCUGCAUCCCUGCUAACCN